UGAGCUCAUACAGUACCCAUUUAUAGAGCUUUUUCAACUUGCCAAUCUUCUGCAGAUUGUGUGAGACCAUUGCAAUACUGACACCAAGUGCCUGAGACAUUUCUCUAACACUUUGACGUGGGUUUUGUUCAACAAUUGCUUUCAAUUGUUCAUUGUCAAGACUGCAUGGCUAUCCUCUACUUUCUUCAUCUUCAAGGCUCUCAUCACCACUAUGGAAUUUCUGAAACCACCUUUGUACUGUGCGAUUACUUGUGGACUGCUCACCCCAUGCUCUGUUGAUAUUGGCAGCAGUUCGGCAGGCAUUGUACCCAAGCUUGAACUCAUGCAAGAAAAAUGCCAGCCUACAUCGUUACUGUAUCAAGACCGCAUGACCAACAGACCAACGGCUGCCUCUACACCACCACCUAACAGUACGUCAACUAUGUCUACAAGAUCAACAGUCCAGCCUAACCACGAAGUCUCUCACACAUCUUUGUUGUAAUCUGUUACGUUAUUUUAUUUCAUGUACGGCAGUCAUUGUAUUUUAUAAGAGAGAAUAAAUUGUCGCUUACCAGUUCA